UUACAAGUUAAUCUAACUUAACUGUUCAGAUGUCUUGUUUCCAGUUCUAAAAAACUUAAGUUAAAAAAGAUUGAAGCUUUGGCUUCUUAACAGCCGAGAAUUCAUGGCCACACCAUUGGCUUUCAGAUCAAUGAGAAGGGGUUUUGCAUCUUCUGCUCUUAAAUGGGAAUGUGGAGUCUCAGUGGUUCAAGGAACUUCUAGAUGAAUUGGCCUUGAAUUUGUUAAACAACUUCUGGAAAAGAAUGACAAAGGGCAUGUUAUUGCUGCUUGCUGAAAUCCUAGUGGGGCAACGGGAAUUACUGAUUUGAAAAAUAAGUUUGCUGAGCGCCUUAAGCUUUCUUUUUUGGUGUGGCUGUUUGUGGGUUAAGAUCAACAAUUUAUGAAUGCUGGAAUAUCAAGCGUAUUGAAUACCAAAAUUAGUCAUGAUUUCAUUUCUUUCAAUAUCCUGAAAAAUUGUAGAGGAUGUCUCCCUAGGAAGGGACAUUGUGAGCAUGAAGCAAAAUGCAGGAAGAAUACCUUUUACCUUUUCCUUAAUAAGAGGAAAGAAGCCUUCAUUUUAAAUCGAUCCAUGGAUAAAUGGAAAGCUAUAGCACAAAAAGAAAAGAAAAAUCACAAGCAUUUCCUAUGCUGUUUAUAACUAGUAAUAGUAGUUAUUAGUAUCGAAGAAAUAAUUAUUGCAGACACAGAAAUUUCUUAGUAGUGUUAGCCCUGAAGAGAUGUGUUCAAAUAUAAUGUUAGUAAUACUAGGCAAAGAUAAAGUUGUUGCAAUAGGGGUUUCGUUAUUGCCCCUUUUGUUUCUUCUUGGAGGUAAUGAUUCACAACAUAGCAUAAUAUCACUGUUUGCCAUUUGCAGCACAUGUGGCCUCUUCUGAUGGCUGGAGGAGACUUGAAAGGGAUGUUGCGUGGUUGCCAAUUUAAGUGCCAGGGUUGGCUCAAAUGAAGAUAAUCAUCUAGGGGGCUGGCAUUCAUAUCGAUCUUCAAAGUCUGCUUUAAAUCAGCAUAUGAUUUCCUCUCCAAAGUUCCCUUGGCAUGAUUUUCUUGAUUCAUGGCUUCAUUUUUGCUAGUAUGGCUAUUGGGUAUGACAAGAAGAAUCAUGAUCACUUUAGUGACUGACAUCUAUGUUGGCUUAUGUUUAUUUUCACCUCGGCAAGGAAUAUUCGAUAUGUCAACUCUCAACACUCUUUUGAGCGCAACUUGGCAAGGAAUCUGCCAUGGGUACCAUUGCCUAAAAUGUGAGACUACUCAUGCAUAUGGGGUACCUCAUUUUCUUUGUUUUGACCAUCCAAUGCACAUGCUACAGAUUGGCGAUGCAAAGCACAAGCUCGGUGUCCUGAAGUUUUCUGGCCAAGUCCUUGUGAGGCAGGAAAUAUCAGUGAAGAAAUAAUUACUUUGUGAGACAAAUUUCUGUGGUCUUUGAAUAAGAUUCUAAAAGAUUCCCUGCAUGGCAUUUACUUCUGUGAAGGCUUUCUGGAUGUCAUUUGCUUCAUUUUCAAAAAUUGUGAAACCUUACUGGAUGACACCUUCCUCAUCUUGUCCAUCCACUUCCUUCGAGUAAACAUUUUCCACCUUAAAACUUUCACACGCACACGCACACGCACACACGCAAUCAGUACACUUUCCCAUCUCCACUUUCCAUUGACUAAUAUGAUUCAAGUUUCUGAUCUUCUAGCUCACUCACUUAAAUCAUGUCUUAGAAUGAUUUUGAUUGGUAGUCCCUUAAGAAUAUGCAAAUACACAUGAAGAGGAUGACUAUGACUGUGGCGUGGAAACGUGGUAUCUUGGUGUGUGUUUACACAUAACUCUGUUUGGGGCGGUAAUCAAUCGCUGUUAGCUUUUGUUAUUGUUUUAUACCAAACUAAAAUGACGCACCUUAAAGCCCUCAUGAUUUGACUUCUCUUGUGAUAGUAUUUGUUUUGUUUGCUGAUUGCAGCGACAAAAACCGUGUCGGUAGAGUUUGCAUGAAAGAAGGAUCCGAUAAUAGGCAUCCUUCUGCACCCUGGCACAGUGGACACAGACCUCUCUAAGCCAUUUCGUAGAAAUGUUCCUGAAGGCAAGCUUUUCACCAAAGAGUUUGCAUUGCAGAAACUCUUAAGCUUCAUUAAUAAUGCAAAAAGGCAAGAUAAUGGCAAACUGUUUGCCUGUGAUGGCCAGGAAAUACCGUGGUAGUCGCUUAGUGUAGUGGAUUGAUUAUAAAUUGAUGACUGAGUGAUGCAGUAGGGUGAUCCAUUUUAUUUUCUUUUUUUGUUCUCCCUGAAGCAAAUUUGUAAAUCCUAAUCAAGAACAAUAUGCUACCCCAAGGAGCAAGGUAGAAUCUAAGAUUAAUUUUUUGGUUUCUUAUUUGUAACUUAAUUUUUCACUUGUGAAAUGCUAAUCAUUCGAGGCUUCAUUUGGUUUCGAAGCAAUCAAAUUGUUGGCAGGACUGCACAUGCCAGCAUUCUUGGUGAUAA